AGUGAACGCUGGCGGUAGGCCUAACACAUGCAAGUCGAACGGCAGCACAGUAAGAGCUUGCUCUUACGGGUGGCGAGUGGCGGACGGGUGAGGAAUACAUCGGAAUCUACUUUUUCGUGGGGGAUAACGUAGGGAAACUUACGCUAAUACCGCAUACGACCUACGGGUGAAAGCACGGGAUCUUCGGCCCUUGCGCGAUUGAAUGAGCCGAUGUCGGAUUAGCUAGUUGGCGGGGUAAAGGCCCACCAAGGCGACGAUCCGUAGCUGGUCUGAGAGGAUGAGCAGCCACACUGGAACUGGGACACGGGCCAGACUCCUACGGGAGGCAGCAGUGGGGAAUAUUGGACAAAGGGCGCAAGCCUGAUCCAGCCAUACCGCGUGCGUGAAGAAGGCCUUCGGGUUGUAAAGCCCUUUUGUUGGGAAAGAAAAGCAGCAGGUUAAUACCCCGCUGUUCUGACGGUACCCAAAGAAUAAGCACCGGCUAACUUCGUG
rnacentral:rRNA from 1 species